rnacentral:rRNA from 1 species
GAGGAAUUUUGCGCAAUGGGGGAAACCCUGACGCAGCGACGCCGCGUGGAGGAUGACGGCCUUCGGGUUGUAAACUCCUGUCAGAGGUGAAGAAUCCCCGCAAGGGGUUGACGGUAACCUCAAAGGAAGCCCCGGCUAACUACGUGCCAGCAGCCGCGGUAAGACGUAGGGGGCAAACGUUACUCGGAAUUACUGGGCGUAAAGGGUGUGUAGGCGGCUGGGUAAGUCAAAGAUGAAAUCCCGAGGCUCAACUUCGGAAUUGUCUUUGAAACUGCCCGGCUUGAGGAUAGUCGAGGAGAAUGGAAUUCCCGGUGGAGCGGUGAAAUGCGUAGAUAUCGGGAGGAACACCCGAGGCGUAAGCGAUUCUCUAUCCUAUUCCUGACGCUGAAACACGAAAGCUAGGGGAGCGAACGG